rnacentral:rRNA from 1 species
UGGGGAAUAUUGCGCAAUGGGGGGAACCCUGACGCAGCCAUGCCGCGUGAAUGAAGAAGGCCUUCGGGUUGUAAAGUUCUUUCGGUAUUGAGGAAGGUUGAUGUGUUAAUAGCACAUCAAAUUGACGUUAAAUACAGAAGAAGCACCGGCUAACUCCGUGCCAGCAGCCGCGGUAAUACGGAGGGUGCGAGCGUUAAUCGGAAUAACUGGGCGUAAAGGGCACGCAGGCGGUUAUUUAAGUGGGGUGUGAAAGCCCCGGGCUUAACCUGGGAAUUGCAUUUCAGACUGGGUAACUAGAGUACUUUAGGGAGGGGUAGAAUUCCACGUGUAGCGGUGAAAUGCGUAGAGAUGUGGAGGAAUACCGAAGGCGAAGGCAGCCCCUUGGGAAUGUACUGACGCUCAUGUGCGAAAGCGUGGGGAGCAAACAGGAUUAGAUACCCUGGUAGUCCACGCUGUAAACGCUGUCGAUUUGGGGGUUGGGGUUUAACUCUGGCGCCCGUAGCUAACGUGAUAAAUCGACCGCCUGGGGAGUACGGCCGCAAGGUUA